UCUCUGUGACCUCGUUCCUCUCCUUUGCUCUCUAAGUCUCUAAGUACACAGAGAAAAAAAAAGCUCAGUAAGCAUAUUCACUCGUGAUUUAGGGCGAUUUAGAGUUGGGUUUUGAAGAUGAUGAAGUUGAAGAAAAGAUAGAUUAAGGCAUUAUUUCAGCACUUGGAGGAGUCAUUUGGAGUUUCUGGAGUAGGAUUUGCCAUGCAAAGUGAAGUACGAAGGGGAAGAACGAGGUAAAGUAAUUCAUCUUAGUAGCAAACGAGGCGGAGAUGACGUGAUUGAAGAAAUUGUGUUUCCAUGUUCGCUGUCCUUUUUGAGGUUGACUCCGUUCAUAUAAUACUGGUGACGGAUAUUUAUUCGAACUAUUUUGACGCUUAAUUGCAUUCGUAAGCACAUCCAUAUUGGAGCUGAGGUUAUGGAUGAAGUGCCAGUGCUUUUGGAGGGGCCCCAUGACGCCGGCCAUCGUUGCCACCUAUUUUUGAACCCAAAUAAAAACAUGAUUUUCGGACUUUCAGACUUCGAACCGUAAAGAAAACCUGGCCAAUACACAAUUCUUUCGUUCCUCACGACGCUUAUGGACUACAUGCUUUUGCUAGGCUCACAUCAUGCGAAGACCAGUUACGUUCGGAACCAUCCCUUUUGACAUCCCUCGUUGACCGGUGGAGACCUGAAAUCCACACCAUUCACUUUCGUUUUGGGGAGCUUGCACCUACACUUCAAGAUGUUUCUAUGAUCCUUGCUCUACCAAUUAGAGGUGAGCCGUUAGUCUCUCCACGAGUGUCUCCAUCUUGGGCAUUAAAUAUAUCAGACAGUCUUGGGAUGACAAUGCCAGAAUCACAAUGUUUUGGUGGCCCUCGUGGCAUCCCACUCUCUUGGCUUCAUGAUAACUUUCUUAAUUUAUCUAGCUACGCUGGUUCUGACACGAUGAAAAGACAUCUGUUUGCGUAUUUGGUGUGGCUCCUCGGGGUUAUGUUUCCAAAUUCACACGGGGACGUACUUCUCCCUGGUCUCAUCUACAUUGUGGAGAAGAUUGUAGAUGAACCUUUACCCGAGCAACGAAAAUACAGCUUUGGUUCUGCCAUUCUAUCUCAUAGAUAUAGAUGCUUGUGUGAUGCCACACAAAAAAAUUCCUUCGCAAAAACAGCUCCGUUACUUUGUGUCCCGUACGAUUUUCUAUAGUUGUGGUCCUGGGAAUACCUCCUUGUAGGACGACCUCGUACUAAAUCCCAUACACCCAUAUGACUGUAGCGAGGGCAGCAGUGUAACUAUGGCCAACAGGUGGACAAAGGCAUGGAAACAUUGGUCUCCAAGUAUUGCGAAAAAUUGAUACCCUAUAUACCACCAGCAGUUUGAGGUACUUGAUGAGUCUGUAGUCACAUGGAGCCCAUGGACUCAGGAGCAUGUACAGAUGGUCUUUGAUAUACGACCCAUCACAGCAGGCAUGUUGUAGCUGGCUGACUCGCUGCUACUUAUUGUUCUUGUGGUGUGUUGAGCCUUACAACCCAGAGCAUGUCAUGAGACAGUUUGGUCUGUAUCAGGAGAUUCCACCACCUUUUCCAAGAUGUACCGACGAGGAAACCCAUAAGAUGUGACCUCCCUAAAUACUCAGACUUUGUUACAUAAUUUGUAGGCUAACCAAUAUGGGCCACGGUUGGAGUUCUUACAAUUGGAGGGAACGCAACAUUCAAUGGGUACUCAAGUGGGAAAAUGAAGCGCUAGCAGAUAUAGUGUAUCG